GAUUCAGCGGCCAGACCGCCGCCCCCACAGCCGCUCGGCCGGCUACUUCAGCAGCGACCGCGCUCAGCCCCGCCGCCCGCCCCUCCCCCGGUGAGAGCGAACGUGACCCCAACUCGGCUCACUGCAGGUUUCUGGUUCCCACCUGUCACCUUGCGAAGCGACCCCGUGAGUCCCGGGUAGGAAGCGCUUCCUGGUGCUAAAGACCAACAGAAACGACCCCAGGACCGCUGGACGCCUGCGCGGGGUCCCACUCUCCGCCCUGCACCCGCCGUGCCGACCCAGAAAGUGUCUUCCACAGGCAAGGGGGCUGGUGUCACAUUGUCACCCCGAAGCGCGGGGAGAAAACGACGGACAACACACACACGAGCCAAAUACGUGGACGAGCACUGUGGUGGUGAGCGUGGACAUGUUUGUUCCGUGGGCUCUGUCUGGACGCUGCUGGAUUACAGCGCCUGCCUGCUUGCUCGGCGAGGAGGCCGCACUGCACCCAGGCGUCAGGAGCCGCAGGGGACAGGCCCCGUGGCAUAAGGCAGGGUGUUCCCUGGGAAAGGUGGAAUGCACAUUAGCCUAGAGUUCUGAGUGGAACUGAGAAAACGUCAGGCCUGACUCUCGGGCAGAGCAAGCCCAGGUGUGGCCCUCUUGCUAAGGAGCUCCAGCUGUGGGAGAACAGCACCUGGCCUGUCCAUCUGCCUGCCUGCCUGCCUUCUGAGGACACGGAGACCCUCCCCAGGGGGAGAAGUCCCUCUGUCAUUGCUGCUAAAUACCCUUGUUCGCACUGAGUUGAUAAAUACUCUCUUCUGCAGCAGGAGCAGUGUUUUGGGCUCUAACACGC